AACGAACGCUGGCGGCAGGCCUAACACAUGCAAGUCGAGCGAGGACUUCGGUCCUAGCGGCGGACGGGUGAGUAACGCGUGGGAACGUGCCCUUUGCUUCGGAAUAGCCCUGGGAAACUGGGAGUAAUACCGGAUGAGCCCUUUGGGGGAAAGAUUUAUCGUCGAAGGAUCGGGCCGGAUUGGAUUAGGUAGUUGGUGGGGUAAUGGCCUACCAAGGCGACGAUCCAUAGCUGGUUUGAGAGGAUGAUCAGCCACACUGGGACUGAGACACGGCCCAGACUCCUACGGGAGGCAGCAGUGGGGAAUCUUAGACAAUGGGGGAAACCCUGAUCUAGCCAUGCCGCGUGAGCGAUGAAGGCCUUAGGGUUGUAAAGCUCUUUCAGCUGGGAAGAUAAUGACGGUACCAGCAGAAGAAGCCCCGGCUAACUCCGUG
rnacentral:rRNA from 1 species